CUGAAAACCAAGAAGUCUUUCAUACAUCUAACGAGAGGUAAGAGGAAAAAUUUACAUUCAAAAGGUUUAAAUUCAUGUUUGGAGGUUUUAACUCAAAGCAAUUUACACAAGAAAUUUUUCUCUUCUAUACAGCUCAGCUUGAGAACCAUGAAGUCUUUUCUCAUUGUUGCCUGUGUGUUUGGGCUCUGUUGUGCAGUGCUAGUGAGUAUUAUUCUCCUGUUUUCAUUUAUUAGUUAAUUUAAAUGAAAAAUGAACUAAAGUAUUACUGUAAUUCUUUGUUAAAAUGUAACCAUUCAGUGCUUGUUUCCUUAAUCCACAUGAAGCAAAAUGACAAAUUCAUUUCUUUUUUAGGCAGUGGAUGAAGAACAUAGAGAGAAGCGCUCAUCAAGCCGUUCCUCAGAGAGAUGGCAUGGAGGAUUUCCUCGUCCCUUUCCCAACCCAUACUUUCCCCCUUCCCGGCCUCAGCCUCCGAACAUCACUGCCCUGCUCAAUCUUUUGGCAUCCAUCUUGGCAUCUUCGACCCCAGCACCCACUAGGGCUCCUGCCCCAGCCCCUGCUCGAUAAGGCAAAAUUCACUAUUUAAAACCAAGCAUGUGUCCAAUUGACAUGAUACUCUUGUUCUUGGUAUAUUCAAAAUAAUAAAUAAAUAAAUGUUGCAUCCUAAAUU
rnacentral:lncRNA from 1 species